UCAGUGAAUCAUCGAGUCUUUGAACGCACAUUGCGCCCCCUGGUAUUCCGGGGGGCAUGCCUGUCCGAGCGUCAUU
rnacentral:rRNA from 1 species